rnacentral:rRNA from 1 species
CCUACGGGUGGCAGCAGUAGGGAAUAUUGCUCAAUGGGGGAAACCCUGAAGCAGCAACGCCGCGUGGAGGAUGAAGGUUUUAGGAUUGUAAACUCCUUUUGUUAGAGGAUAUUAUGACGGUAUCUAACGAAUAAGCACCGGCUAACUCCGUGCCAGCAGCCGCGGUAAUACGGAGGGUGCAAGCGUUACCCGGAAUCACUGGGUGUAAAGAGUGCGUAGGCGGGUUAAUAAGUCAGUUGUGAAAUCCUGUAGCUUAACUACAGAACUGCAAUUGAUACUGUUACUCUGGAGUGUGGGAGAGGUAGGUGGAAUUCGUGGUGUAGGGGUAAAAUGCGUAGAGAUCAAGAGGAACACUGAUUGCGAAGGCGACCUGCUGGAACACUACUGACGCUGAUGCACGAAAGCGUGGGGAGCAAACAGGAUUAGAUACCCUAGUAGUC